AUGAACGCUGGCGGCGUGCCUAAUACAUGCAAGUCGAGCGAACAGACGAGGAGCUUGCUCCUCUGACGUUAGCGGCGGACGGGUGAGUAACACGUGGAUAACCUACCUAUAAGACUGGGAUAACUUCGGGAAACCGGAGCUAAUACCGGAUAAUAUAUUGAACCGCAUGGUUCAAUAGUGAAAGACGGUUUUGCUGUCACUUAUAGAUGGAUCCGCGCCGCAUUAGCUAGUUGGUAAGGUAACGGCUUACCAAGGCAACGAUGCGUAGCCGACCUGAGAGGGUGGUCGGCCACACUGGAACUGAGACACGGUCCAGACUCCUACGGGAGGCAGCAGUAGGGAAUCUUCCGCAAUGGGCGAAAGCCUGACGGAGCAACGCCGCGUGAGUGAUGAAGGUCUUCGGAUCGUAAAACUCUGUUAUUAGGGAAGAACAAAUGUGUAAGUAACUAUGCACGUCUUGACGGUACCUAAUCAGAAAGCCACGGCUAACUACGUG
rnacentral:rRNA from 1 species